CAAUAGCGUAUAUUUAAGUUGUUGCAGUUAAAAAGCUCGUAGUUGGAUUUCGGCUGGGACUUGCCGGUCCGUCGUUUCGAUGUGCACUGGCCAGUCCUAUCUUGUUGUCGGGGACUAGCUCCUGGGCUUCACUGUCCGGGACUAGGAGCUGACGAGGUUACUUUGAGUAAAUUAGAGUGUUCAAAGCAAGCCUACGCUCUGAAUACAUUAGCAUGGAAUAACACGAUAGGACUCUGGCUUAUCUUGUUGGUCUGUGAGACCAGAGUAAUGAUUAAGAGGGACAGUCGGGGGCAUUCGUAUUUCAUUGUCAGAGGUGAAAUUCUUGGAUUUAUGAAAGACGAACUUCUGCGAAAGCAUUUGUCAAGGAUGUUUUCAUUA
rnacentral:rRNA from 1 species